rnacentral:tRNA from 1 species
GAAUCGAAUGAAUCAAAGCCUGCGAUGGCCAUGGAAAAAAAACACACUAGCUACA